GUCCUAGGAGGGGAGGGGCGGAGGGAAUGAGGGCUGGGGUCCUGGGUGCCUGACUCGGCUCUGCGGUCCUGUGUGGGGAAUGCAGAGAAUGGUCUGAAGCAGGCAGGGACACCCUAGCUCUGACAGCGUGAGGGUGCGCUGCUAGGAGGCAGAGUGUCAGAAGGACCUCCUGCCUACACCCCGCAUCUCCUGGAGGGUUAGGCUUUAGAAAACAAAAGAAAAACAAAACUGUAGAAUAGUAGUAAAAUACACACAAUUUACCAUUUUAACCUUUUUUGUUGGUUUGUUUGUUUACUUUUGAGAGAGAGUACGAGAGGGGUGAGGGCAGAGAGAGGGAGACACAGAAUCCGAAGCAGGCUUCAGGCUCCAACCUGUCAGCACAGAGCCUGAUGCAGAGUUCGAACUCAGGAACCACCAGAUGAUGACCUGAGCCGAAGUCAGAUGCUUAACCGACUAAGCCACCCAGGUGCCCCAUUUCAACCAUUUUGAAGUGUGCAUUUGAGUGGUAUUGAGUGUGUCACCAUCCAUGGAGGGGUGGUUUUGAAAGGGCAUCCCUGGACUUAGUGAGAUCUCAGCCACGAGCAUGAGGCUGAGGUCAAGGCUGCAGCUGCUCCCUUCACGUGUGGGUGCUCACCAGUCUGUAGCGGAGCAAGGAGUCUGGAGCUCUUAUGCUUGACUCUCCAACCUCGUUAUUGGAGGCGCCCACUGCCUCUGGUGCACCCCAGGCCCCUGAGCCUCGUGGCUUUCAAGGGUUCACCAAGCUCCCGCGUGCAGGAGUGCAGCGGACACACCAUCCUGUGUUCCAGGUGGGUGGAGAGGAGGAGGUGAUAUUGAUGGAGGCCACGCACGACACUCCCAGAGCUCCACAGCUCAUCCCAGGCCUUUUUCUGAGGCUGCCGGAACCUUCUUUGGAGCUCUGAAGGUCCAGCGUGCGUGGGACUCCAGACGAGUCAGCUACUGGCUGGGCCCAGCCUCUCUCCCUACAGAAGAGGGCACGGAAGAGUUUAGAAAAUAAGAAGCAAGCUCUGCAUGUCCACCUGGGUCAGGAAAUGGAACGGUGUCUCAGCUCCUGGGAAACCCCGUCUUCCCUUCGCGGCGCCUCUGUCUUCCCAGAGGUCACAGCCUCCCGACAUGUGGCAGUCUUUGACACAUUCGUUAUUUCAUUGGUCUCUGAAGACCAGGAGUCAAGACACAGCUCAACCAAGUUCUCCCUCACAGGCUGCAAUCGAGGGGUCUCCUCUGGGGCUGUUCUGGAGAAGGGUCCCCACUCACAUGGUUGCUGGCAGCAUUUAGCUACCUUCUGGGCGUCAACAAGAGGUCCACUCCAUGGGGCAGCCACAGCAUGGCAGCUUGCUGCUUCAAGCCAGCAAGGGAGACCGUCUCCAAGCAAGAGAGGCGUUAUUAAUCAUGGAAGCGACAUCCAGUCCCCUUUCAGAAUUUUGUGGGUUAAAAGCAAGCCGUAGCAUCCACUAGCAUUGCCACAGUUCAAAAAAGAAAAAAAGGGGAAAAGGAAGAAAGAAAAUAUAAUUGCUGGUGAAGAUGUGGAGAAACUGGAACCCUAAAUACUGCUGGUGGAACAGAAUAGGUCAGCUACUGUGGAGAAGAGUCCGGCAAUGAAUUCCUCAACGCAUUAGAAUUCUGUAACCCAACAACUACAUUCCUAGAUACAUACCUGAGAGAACUGAAAGCAAGAACUCCGAUACUUGUGCACACACGUUUAUAGCUGCAUUUUUCACAAUAGCCAGAGGGUGAAAACAACCAAAUAUCCAUCAGCAGCUGGAUGGAUAGACAGAAGACAAAAUAUAGAAAACAGUAUGGAGGUUCCUCCAAAAAUUAAAUACCAUAUGAUCCAGUAAUUCCACUAGUGUGUGUUUAUCCAGGGGAAGUGAAAACACUGAUUUGAAGAGCUCUCUGCACUCCAGUGUUUUUUGCAGCAUUAUAUACGAACAAAAUGUGGUCUCUUCAUGCAAUGAAAUAUUAUUCAGCCAUAAAGAUGACUGAAAUUCUGAUGCAUACUAUAGCAUGGAUGAACCUUGAGAACAUUAUGUUAAGUGAAAAUGAAGCCAGAGACAAAAGAUCACAUAUAUGAACUAUCUAGCAUCAGUUCCGUACAGACAGUAGACAAAUGAUCUUCAGAGGUUCUGGGGGAGGAAUGGGAGUGACCUGGGGCACAGGGCUUCUGGGGCGAUGAAAAGGUUUGUAACUAGAUAGUGGUGUUGGUUGCAUAGUAUGAAUGUGCUAAAUGCCACCGAAUUGUAUGCCCUGAAGUGGUUUAAAGGUUAACUUUGUUUUAUUUAUUGUUUAUAUUAAAAACAGCAAAACCCACAUUCAGAAGGAGGUGGAGAGACUACAGAAGGGUAUGAACACCAGGAGGUGGGGAUCCUGAGGUACUUUUCUCACUGACACUUUUUGAGUCUGUGCUUUUUGUCUUUGUCCAUGUGUCCAGUCUUUAUCCUUUGCCGGGAUCAAUGAAGUCACUUAUGGUCAAUAUAGUUAACAUAUUUGGUCUUGUUGACACCAUCUUAUUUUGAGCUUUCCCCUUGCCAUGCCCGUUCUAUUUCCAUUUUUGCCCCUUUUUGAGGGGAUUGUUUUAGAAUAGUUUUUAAUUAUUUUAUUAAUUUUUAAACAAAUGUUUACUUACGUAUUUUUGAAAGAGAGAGAACAAAAGCAGGGGAGGGGCAGAGACACAGAAUCCGAAGCAGGCCCCAGCGCAGACCCCGACACGGGGUUAGAACUCAAGGACUGUGAGAUUGUGACCUGAGCUGAAGUCAGACGCUUAACCAAUUGAGUCACCCAUGUGCUUCAGUGUUUUAUUUUUUUAUUUUUAAAAUUUAUUUUUAGAGUGUGUGUGUGUGUGUGUGUGUGUGAGCGAGAGAGGGGCAGAGAGAGAGGGAGAGAGAAAAUCCCAAGCAGGCUCUGUGCCGUCAGCAAAAAGCCCAACAUGGGACUUGAUUCCAUAAACUGAGAUCGUGACCUGAGCUAAAACCAAGAAUUGGACCUUAACUGAGCCAUCCAGGUGCCCCUGUUUUAGAGUAUUUUAACUUCCUACUUUUUUCUCUCCGUUACUUUGGAAGUCAGACAUUCCAUUUCUAUUUCAUGGUUGCUCCAGAAUUGACAACGUACGUGCUUCAUGUAUUGUGGUAUGCUAGCUGAAUAAUAGCCACCAAAGAUAUCCAGGUCCUAAUCCCUGGAACCUGUGAAUGUGGCUUUAUAUGGCAAAAGGCUUUGGAAGGUGUGAUUAAGAGUUUUGAGAUGGGGAGGGGCACCUGGGUGGCUCAAUCGGCUAAACGUCUGACUUUGGCUCAGGUCAUGAUCUCACGGUUCAUGGGUUUGAGCCGUAUGUUGGGCUCUUCUGACAACUGGGAGCCUGGAGCCUGCUUUGGAUUCUGUGUCUCCCUCUCUCUCUGCCCCUGCCCCAUCUCAUUUUCUCUCUCUUUCUCUCUCAGAAGUAAACAUGAAAAAAAUUUUUUUUUAAUUUUUGACAUGGAGAAAUUAUUUUGGAUUAUCCAGAUAGGCCUACUGUGAUCACAUGGGUCCUUAUUAGAGGCAGGCAAGGGGAUAUGUGACUACAGAAGAAAGCAAGAUACUACUAGCUUUACGGAUGGAGGAAGAGGCCCCAGAACCAAGGAAUGCACAUCUAGGAGCUGGAAAAGCAAGGAAAUGGAUUUCCCCCCAGAGCUUCCUGAAGGAGGAGCACAAUCCAUCUGACAUACUGAUUUCAGCAUAGUGAGACUGAGUUUGGACUUCUGCCCUCCCAAACUGUAAUACGAGAAUGGAUUUGUGUUGUUGUUUUAAUGUUUAUUUUUGAGAGGAAGAGAGCACAGGCAGGGGAGGAGGAGAAAGGGGCAGAGGCAGAAUCCCAAGCAGGCUGCUCCUGUCAGCACGGAGCUGGGUGAGAGCUCGAACUCAGGAACUGUGACAUCAUGGCCUGAGCUGAAAUCAAGAGUUGGACGCUUGGGGUACCUGGUUGGCUCAGUCGGUUAAGCGUCCAACUUUGGCUCAGGUCAUGAUCUCAUGGUUUGUGGGUUUGAGCCCCACAUCGGGCUCUGCACUGUCAGUGCGGAGCCUGCUUGGGAUUCUCUCUCCUCUCUCUGCCCCUUCCCCAUAUGCACUCUCUCUGUAUCUCAAAAUAAAUAAAAAGACUUAAAAAAAAAAAAGUUGGACACUUAACCGACUGAGUGACCCAGGCGCCCCAAAUUUGUGUUGUUUUAAGUCACUAAGUUUGUUAGCCAGCAAUAGGAAAGUAAUACAACUAGCAAAACCUAAAGUUAAUAAAAACAUGUUUCCUUCCCAGAUGACAUAAGGACUUAAGAGCAAUUAACUGCCAUUGAGUCAUGACUUAAUUCUGACUUAGUUAUUAAUAUCUGGUGUUUUAUGUCUGUAGGGUUUUUUUUUUUCCUUUCUAAUCUCAUAUGUGAUUUUGUAUACAAUCAGUGUUUGUGUUAGCACGUUGUUUGUUAUUCAUUCCUUCUUACAUCUCAGGCUUCUCCCCAGGCUCACUGUCCUUCUGCCUGUAGUGCAUCCUUUAGUAGAGUCAGGAUAGGGUGAGGCAGGAUCCGGAGAAUUUAAUUCAGAUCUAUUUUUAAGUUCACUAUUUCUCUCUGUGACUAUGUUUUAUCUGUUACACUUAGCCAUUGAAUAUUUAUUUAUUUAAUGUUUACAUUUAAAAAAUUUUAUUUUAGGGGCUCCUGGGUGGCUCAGUUGGUUAAGUGGCCAAGUUCGGCUCAUGUCAUGAUCUUGUGGUUCAUGAGUUUGAGCCCCCACAUCGGGCUCUCUACUGUAAGAAUAGAGCCCCAUUCAGGUCCUCUGUCUCCCAAUCUCUCUGCCCCUCCCCCCCUCUCUCAUGCACUCUCUCUCUCUCUCAAAAAUAAACUUUUCAAAAUAAUAAAAUUUUAUUUUAGAGAGAGAGAACAUGGACCGGGGGGUGGGGGGGGGGAGGGGAGAGAGAGAAUCCCAAGCAGGCUCCACACUCAGCAUGGAGGCUGAUGCAGGGCUCCAUUCCACAACCGUGGGAUCAUGACCUGAGCCAAAAUCAAGAGUCAGACUCUCAACCAACUGAGCCACCCAGGCACCCCGGGAUUUUGAGGUUUUUUAAAUGUUUUUUAAUGUUUACUUUUGAGAGAGAGAGAGUGUGAGCCAAGGAGGGACUGGGAUAGAGGGAGACACAGAAAUCUGAAGUAGGCUCCAGGCUCCGUGCUAUUAGCACAGAGCCCAAUCCGGGGCUUGAACCCACGAACCGUGAGAACAUGACCAGAGCCCAAGUUAGAUGCUUAACCAACGGAGCCACCCAGGUGCCCUGCCCUUUGUGGCCUAUAGUAAAGUGCCUUUAUCUAGGAAGGACUUACUUCCUACUGCCAGGUGCCUAUGAGGGAGUCCAGGAUCGUUUUAAAUGAGAUCCAUAGCCUGAGAUUUUGGGGGACCAUUCAGGUGAUAGAAACUUGGGCUGCAGAGCCAUGAGUGUCAACAUCAGAUUUCGAUUUAUCUGGAAAAGAUGUUCCCUUUUCUGCUUAUCACCAAGGUAUUUUUUUUUAGGCCCCCUUUUUGGGGAAAGGAGAGAAUUCUCCAGUAGGUGUAGCCUUUUGGGGCCCGAGCUUUAUGGGGAAGAGUCACCUAUGGAGCACAUCACCUUAUACUGCCCCCUUUUUUUACCUAUGAAGAAGAAAAUUCUAGCCCAAUGUUGCCAGUUUUGGCAAAUACCUCAGGACCCAAGUAGUUUAGGUGCUGUGAUAACCUCUCCCUCUCUGAGUCCUCGCCUUUACUUGGUUUCUGGCCAGAAGGUUCCUUAUCCUCUUCUUUGCUCUUUGAUGCUUUUAGGACUAUUUAAUCUGGAUGUCUGACUGGUUCAGUCAAUAGAGCAUAUGACACUUGAUCUCAGGGUUGUAAGUUGAAACCCCACAUUGGAUAUAGAGCUUUAUUUUUUAUUAUUUUUUAUUUUUUUAAUGUUUAUUUGUUAUUGAGAGACAGAGGCAGAGCAUGAGCAUGGGAGGGGCAGAGACAGGGGGAGACACAAUCUGAAGCAGGCUCCAGGCUCCGAGCUAUCAGCACAGAGCCCGACGUGGGGCUGGAACUCACGAACUGUGAGAUCAUGACCUGAGCCGAAGUCGGUGGCUCAACCAACUGAGACACCCAGGCGCCCCUGGGUAUAGAGCUUUAAAACAAAAACAAAAAC